rnacentral:rRNA from 1 species
GAGACUCUGUGCGCGUGCAUAUCAAUAAGCGGAGGAAAAGAAACUAACAAGGAUUCCCCUAGUAACGGCGAGUGAAGCGGGAAGAGCUCAAAUCUGAAAUCUUAAAGGGUUUCCCUUUACGAAUUGUAGUUUAAAGAAGUGUUUUCUGUUGGAGUUUCGGUAAAAGUUCUUUGGAAUAGGACAUCAUAGAGGGUGAGAAUCCCGUAUUUGAUCGUUACUUUCCAGCUGUGUGAUACACUUUCAAAGAGUCGGAUUGUUUGGGAAUGCAGUCCAAAAUGGGUGGUAAAUUUCAUCUAAAGCUAAAUAUUGGCGAGAGACCGAUAGCGAACAAGUACCGUGAGGGAAAGAUGAGAAGAACUUUGAAAAGAGAGUUAAACAGUACGUGAAAUUGUCAAAAGGGAAGCGUUUGACACCAGUGUUGUUUAGUUGAAAAUCAAUUCAAUAAUUUUUGAUUUUAAGUAGUAUUGACCUUAUCAGCUUAGCUGUACUUUUUUCAGUGACUCUUUGAAUGCACUUUUCAGUUAACAAGUCAACAUCAAUUUCUUUUGUUGUAAAAGGGUAAGAGGAAGGUGGCUUACGCUUCGGCGUAAGUGUUUAUAGCCUUUUACCUCUGCAAUCGGAGAGAUUGAGGACAGCAGCGUAGACUCUUCGGGGUUAGAUACACUUGUGCUAAGCUAUAGCCUUGUAUAGACAACUUGUUGACUAUGCUCAGUCAUGUAGCUUACUCGCUUGUGCUAUUUUACCUACGCUUAGGAUGUUGAACUCUAUCACACACAG